rnacentral:rRNA from 1 species
GAUGAACGCUGGCGGCGUGCCUAAUACAUGCAAGUCGAGCGAACAGACGAGGAGCUUGCUCCUCUGACGUUAGCGGCGGACGGGUGAGUAACACGUGGAUAACCUACCUAUAAGACUGGGAUAACUUCGGGAAACCGGAGCUAAUACCGGAUAAUAUAUUGAACCGCAUGGUUCAAUAGUGAAAGACGGUUUUGCUGUCACUUAUAGAUGGAUCCGCGCCGCAUUAGCUAGUUGGUAAGGUAACGGCUUACCAAGGCAACGAUGCGUAGCCGACCUGAGAGGGGGGUCGGCCACACGGGAACGGAGACAGGGUCCAUACGCCUAAGGUAGGCAGCAGUAGGGAAUCGGCCGCAAUGGGCGAAAGCCUGACGGAGCAAGGCCGAGUGAGUGAUGAAGGUCUUCGGAUCGGGAAACUCUGUUAUUAGGGAAGAACAAAUGUGUAAGUAACUAUGCACGUCUUGACGGUACCGAAUCAGAAAGCCACGGCUAACUACGUG